rnacentral:rRNA from 1 species
UACGAGGGGGGCAAGCGUUGUCCGGAUUCAUUGGGCGUAAAGGGUGCGUAGGUGGCGCCGUAAGUCGGGUGUGAAAUUUCGGAGCUUAACUCCGAAACUGCAUUCGAUACUGCGGUGCUUGAGGACUGGAGAGGAGACUGGAAUUCAUGGUGUAGCAGUGAAAUGCGUAGAGAUCAUGAGGAAGACCAGUGGCGAAGGCGGGUCUCUGGACAGUAACUGACGCUGAGGAGCGAAAGCGUGGGGAGCAAACAGG